rnacentral:misc_RNA from 1 species
UCCGGUUUGUCACCGGCAGUCCCCCAUGAGUCCCCGACUUUACUCGCUGGCAACAUGGGGCAGGGGUUGACGUAACGGGACUUAACCCAACAUCUCACGACACGAGCUGACGACAGCCAUGCAGCACCUGUGCAGGGACUCCGAAGAGGGGCCGUGGUUUCUCACGGCUUUCCCCUGCAUGUCAAGCCCAGGUAAGGUUCUUCGCGUUGCGUCGAAUUAAACCACAUGCUCCACCGCUUGUGCGGGCCCCCGUCAAUUCCUUUGAGUUUCAGCCUUGCGGCCGUACUCCCCAGGCGGGGCACUUAAUGCGUUAGCUUUGGCACCGGAGGAGUCGACACCUCCGACACCUAGUGCCCAUCGUUUACGGCGUGGACUAC